ACACAACACGAGCAAUCAUCAUCACAUCCACGAAUCACAAGCCUUUCUUCCUCGGUCCUCACGUCAUCGACCUCCUCGAGCCAUGGCGCCUCGGAGCCGCCUCCUCGACCUGGAGACGCAGGACGUGCUCUUCUUCUACGGCGACCUCGUCGGCGUGGCCACCCACGCGAUCGUCUUCUGGCCCGUCCUCCUCGCCGCCGCCCUUAUCCUCCGCCUCAUCGCGCCGUUAUUACCGCACGCCGCCGCCGCCUGCGCGGGGCUCUACGUCGCCUACCGCUUCCUCCUCCACCGCGCCGCGCGGUCGCUGUCUUCCUCUGCCGGGUCGCCGGCGGCGCCGUCUCACACCAGGCCAGUAGUCUGCGCAUGAUGGCAGGCUACAAGAUCGGUCAGAAUAUUUCGUUAAUGGAGAAAAGGAAGAAGGGUGUUGCAGCAGGUUAUUUGCUGGAUGCUUGUCAUUGUUUUAUUGCAUCAUAUGU
rnacentral:lncRNA from 1 species